AGAGUUUGAUCAUGGCUCAGGAUGAACGCUAGCGGCAGGCCUAACACAUGCAAGUCGGGGGACGGUAGCAAUACUGGACCGGCGCACGGGUGAGUAACGCAUAUGCAACCUACCUUUAACCGGGGAAUAGCUCCGAGAAAUCGGAAUUAAUACCCCAUAACAUUCCGGGAUGGCAUCAUUCUGGAAUUAAAGCUCUGGUGGUUAAAGAUGGGCAUGCGUAACAUUAGCUUGUUGGUGAGGUAACGGCUCACCAAGGCUACGAUGUUUAGGGGGUCUGAGAGGAUGAUCCCCCACACUGGUACUGAGACACGGACCAGACUCCUACGGGAGGCAGCAGUGAGGAAUAUUGGGCAAUGGGCGCAAGCCUGACCCAGCCAUGCCGCGUGAAGGAUGACAGCCCUACGGGUUGUAAACUUCUUUUGUAAGGGAAGAACCUCCCGAACGUGUUCGGGACUGACUGUACUUUACGAAUAAGCAUCGGCUAACCCCGUGCCAGUAGCCGCGGUAAUACGGAGGAUGCAGGCGUUAUCCGGAUUUAUUGGGUUUAAAGGGUGUGUAGGCGGAAUAAUAAGUCAGUGGUGAAAUACUAUAGCUUAACUGUAGAGCUGCCGUUGAUACUGUGUUCUUGAGUAUAGUUGAGGUGGGCGGAAUGUGUAAUGUAGCGGUGAAAUGCUUAGAUAUUACACAGAACACCGAUUGCGUAGGCAGCUCACUAAACUAACACUGACGCUGAGGCACGAAAGCGUGGGGAUCAAACAGGAUUAGAUACCCUGGUAGUCCACGCCGUAAACGAUGAUUACUCGAUGUGUGCGAUAUACAGU
rnacentral:rRNA from 1 species